UACGAAGGGGGCUAGCGUUGCUCGGAAUUACUGGGCGUAAAGGGCGCGUAGGCGGCACUGUUAGUCAGGCGUGAAAUUCCUGGGCUCAACCUGGGGACUGCGCUUGAUACGGCGGAGCUAGAGGAUGGAAGAGGCUCGCGGAAUUCCCAGUGUAGAGGUGAAAUUCGUAGAUAUUGGGAAGAACACCGGUGGCGAAGGCGGCGAGCUGGUCCAUUACUGACGCUGAGGCGCGACAGCGUGGGGAGCAAACAGGAUUAGAUACCCUGGUAGUCCACGCCGUAAACGAUGUGCGCUGGAUGUUGGGUGGCCUAGCCACUCAGUGUCGUAGC
rnacentral:rRNA from 1 species